UCGAGCGAAGCAUUUAAGACAGAUCUCUUCGGAUGAAGUCUUAUCUGACUGAGCGGCGGACGGGUGAGUAACGCGUGGGUAACCUGCCUCAUACAGGGGGAUAACAGUUAGAAAUGACUGCUAAUACCGCAUAAGCGCACAGGGCUGCAUGGCCCGGUGUGAAAAACUCCGGUGGUAUGAGAUGGACCCGCGUCUGAUUAGCUGGUUGGAGGGGUAACGGCCCACCAAGGCGACGAUCAGUAGCCGGCCUGAGAGGGUGAACGGCCACAUUGGGACUGAGACACGGCCCAGACUCCUACGGGAGGCAGCAGUGGGGAAUAUUGCACAAUGGGGGAAACCCUGAUGCAGCGACGCCGCGUGAAGGAAGAAGUAUCUCGGUAUGUAAACUUCUAUCAGCAGGGAAGAAAAUGACGGUACCUGACUAAGAAGCCCCGGCUAACUACGUGCCAGCAGCCGCGGUAAUACGUAGGGGGCAAGCGUUAUCCGGAUUUACUGGGUGUAAAGGGAGCGUAGACGGAAGAGCAAGUCUGAUGUGAAAGGCUGGGGCUUAACCCCAGGACUGCAUUGGAAACUGUUUUUCUAGAGUGCCGGAGAGGUAAGCGGAAUUCCUAGUGUAGCGGUGAAAUGCGUAGAUAUUAGGAGGAACACCAGUGGCGAAGGCGGCUUACUGGA
rnacentral:rRNA from 2 species